AUCAAGGUGUUAUUCUUCUAAUGGACCUUGCUAAGCUUUAUUCAAAUCAUUUGAAGAUCAGCCAAGAAGGGGGCCUCUUCGCUAAUAUUUUCUUGUGAGCUCUGCGGAUGUUGUGGUCUGGAGGGAGUAUCUCAUUAUCAUUCGUUUCCUUUUUCAGCCAGGUCUCGGUUAGUACCUCAAUGUCAGGUAUUAUGAUAUGUCUAGAUCCAAUGACAGAGAAGGAAGAGGUCCUGACUUGUGACUAAAGUGAUCAGGUUCGCUUACUAACCCAGUGCUGGAGGAGUCUGGCAGGGAGGGAAAGGUUUGAAGUUGUGGUGUGCUUACUCCUCUCUGAGGAACUGAGGUCUGGAAGCACAUCGGAUGGUCAAAUAUCUAUGGUGGAGACCUGGGAAUUAUUGCCAAUGCUCAGUGUUGAAAGGUGGGGUUACUUGCUGGUGUGUCCCUUGCAAAACCGAAGGACUGCAUAGCACCAUCAACCCAUUGCAUGUGGGGCAAAGUGUGAAAAAUGGAGUUCUGAUGCUUUGUGGCAGGAAUUCACAUACUGAAGUAUCAUGGUACCUUGAGAUGCCCAUGAAACUGCUGCCAGUCUUCUGCACCAGACACUGGAUGCUGUCCUCAGCUGCACUUUGCUACAUAAAGUACAAAAUGUUACUUAUUAUCCUUUCAUUCCAACAUGACUUUAAAACUUUUCCCAAAGGCUGAUAACUCAAAAAUCUCUCAUUUGUUAUAAUGAAUAUAAGUUGUUAAAGGGGAAGAACACCCAGUUUGUAUAUCGGCCAGAUGUUUAACACUGA